AAACAUUCCCAAAAGCUGUAUUUCUAUUUAUAAAAAAUUAUAUAUAGCUUCGGAAUUCAUGUGGGUUUCCUUCAUUAUGUACAAAUAUUAUAUAAAAUAGAAGAUACCAUUGAUAAAUGAAGCUGCUUUUUUUUCCUCUUCUUUUUGAUUUUUGUGGAAACUAGAAAGAUGGUUGAUGGAUCUUUGGCUUGAUCAUGGACCAUGUUAAAGCCCCCAUCAAGUGGCCGUCACACGGUUCAGAUUCGUCGUAGGUUGCUCAUGUGUCAAGAUCUAGCGGUUGGGAAAUCAAAAGAUAAACAGGGAAUCGAUUCUUUGACUUAAAAAUAAAUAAAUAAAUUUCGUAUGGAAUUGACUUUUAGAACUUCUGAAAACGACGUAGCUUCAUUCACCCUACGCGUCUGCUUAAGACCAUGACGAGGCGGAGGGAAAAAAAAACAUAGUAACCGCCGAGGCAACGAAAUGGCGGAGAAUCGAGUUAGAGAGGGUCACGUGGGGUCCAGUAAACCGUCGCAGUUUUCUCAAAACGUGUGGGGUCCAUUUCAUUGAGGCUGAUUCGUUGGAAAAAUAAUGAUAAAAAAAGGAUAUGGCCCAGUGGCCGAGGAGCACAAAGAACGGUGACGAGGCGCUGCCGACUAAGAAAAAACGUAACGUCAGAUUGACGUGUAAGACGGGGGUGGUUAGAGUAAUGGGACUCGUUAUGGUUCGAUGUCGUUGCGCCACGCAGACCAAAACCCGACCUUUCUAGCUGUAGAAACGACGUCUCAACUGCUCCUUCCGUCACCAACUGUGUUACAUAUCAUGCCACAAUUUCCAAUUUUUUACUUCCUUUUAUUACAAAAUAAAUAUACCUACUUUUUUUUUA